GAGAUCAGAAGCGAGAAUGUUGACAUGAGUAGCGACAAAGAGGGUGAGAGACCCUCUCGCCGUAAGUCCAAGGGUUCCUGCUUAAAGCUAAUCUGAGCAGGGUAAGCCGGCCCCUAAGGCGAGGCCGAAAGGCGUAGUCGAUGGGAACCAGGUUAAUAUUCCUGGGCCAGGAGGAAGUGACGGAUCUCGAAGGUAGUUAGCCCUUAUCGGAUUGGGUGGGCUGCUCAGAGGUUCCAGGAAAUAGCCCUCCAUCAGACCGUACCCUAAACCGACACAGGUGGACUGGUAGAGUAUACCAAGGCGCUUGAGAGAACCACGUUAAAGGAACUCGGCAAAAUGCCUCCGUAAGUUCGCGAGAAGGAGGCCCCAUAUCUGGGCAACCAGGUGUGGGGGGCACAAACUAGGGGGUGGCGACUGUUUACUUAAAACACAGGGCUGUGCGAAGCCGUAAGGCGACGUAUACAGUCUGACGCCUGCCCGGUGCUGGAAGGUUAAAAGGAGGGGUGCAAGCUCUGAAUUGAAGCCCCAGUAAACGGCGGCCGUAACGAUAACGGUCCUAAGGUAGCGAAAUUCCUUGUCGGGUAAGUUCCGACCUGCACGAAUGGCGUAACGAUCUCCCCGCUGUCUCUAACGUGGACUCAGCGAAAUUGAACUGUGUGUCAAGAUGCACACUACCCGCGGUUAGACGGAAAGACCCCAUGCACCUUUACUCCAGCUUUGCAGUGGUAUCAGGAUUGUGAUGUGCAGGAUAGGUGGUAGGCAUCGAAGCGGGGACGCCAGUUCUCGUGGAGCCUCCCUUGAGAUACCACCCUUCGCCAUCUUGAUAUCUAACCGCGGCCCGUUAUCCGGGUCCGGGACCCUGCAUGGUGGGGAGUUUGACUGGGGCGGUCGCCUCCCAAACAGUAACGGAGGCGCGCGAAGGUAGGCUCAGACCGGUCGGAAAUCGGUCGUUGAGUGCAAUGGCAGAAGCCUGCCUGACUGCAAGUCUGACAAGACGAGCAGAGACGAAAGUCGGUCAUAGUGAUCCGGUGGUCCCAAGUGGGAGGGCCAUCGCUCAACGGAUAAAAGGUACGCUGGGGAUAACAGGCUGAUGAUGCCCAAGAGUCCAUAUCGACGGCAUCGUUUGGCACCUCGAUGUCGGCUCAUCUCAUCCAGGGGCUGGAGCAGGUCCCAAGGGUAUGGCUGUUCGCCAUUUAAAGAGGUACGUGAGCUGGGUUUAGAACGUCGUGAGACAGUUCGGUCCCUAUCUGCCGUGGGUGUAGGAGACUUGAGAAGAGUUGCCCCUAGUACGAGAGGACCGGGGUGAACGAACCACUGGUGGACCAGUUGUCGUGCCAACGGCAGUGCUGGGUAGCUAUGUUCGGACAGGAUAACCGCUGAAGGCAUCUAAGCGGGAAGCCCCCUUCAAAACAAGGUCUCCCUUGAGAGCCGUGGAAGACCACCACGUCGAUAGGCCGGAGGUGUAAGUGCAGUAAUGCAUUCAGCUGACCGGUACUAAUUGCUC
rnacentral:rRNA from 1 species